rnacentral:rRNA from 1 species
GAUGAACGCUAGCUACAGGCUUAACACAUGCAAGUCGAGGGGCAGCACAGUGUAGCAAUACAUGGGUGGCGACCGGCGCACGGGUGCGUAACGCGUAUCCAACCUUCCCGAUACUCUUGGAUAGCCUUCCGAAAGGGAGAUUAAUACAAGAUGGUGUUUCACUUUCGCAUGUUAUUGAAACUAAAGAUUUAUCGGUAUCGGAUGGGGAUGCGUGACAUUAGAUAGUAGGCGGGGUAACGGCCCACCUAGUCUACGAUGUCUAGGGGUUCGGAGAGGAAGGUCCCCCACACUGGAACUGGGACACGGUCCAGACUGCUACGGGAGGCAGCAGUGAGGAAUAUUGGUCAAUGGUCGGAAGACUGAACCAGCCAAGUAGCGUGAAGGAUGAAGGUCCUAUGGAUUGUAAACUUCUUUUAUACGGGAAUAAAACUCCUUACGUGUAGGGUCUUGUAUGUACCGUAUGAAUAAGCAUCGGCUAACUCCGUGCCAGCCGCCGCAGUAAAAC